rnacentral:lncRNA from 1 species
UCAAAGCACCAAUAUAUGUUACCAAAAUGAAAAAUAUCAGACACAGAAAGAACAGCUACCAUGAGUAAAAGCACUUUUGCGUGCUGAAGCCGGGCUCCUGCUCUUUCCCUCUUCUUUACACCGCGCUACUUCAAAAAGCAGAAAUAUUCUGAUAAUCAAAUUCACAAAGCCAAUUACUUAACAGCCACCAUGGAAGCUGAAGCUGAAACUGAAGCUAAUCCUGAACAAGUAGAUCAUCUGUUUUCAUUACCAGUAGAUGCUGAUCAAAAGGCCACAGAGUUUAGGCUAUUCUCAAUUGCGCCACCGCACAUGCUCGCCUUCCACCUUGCAUGGUUCUCUCUUUUCUCCAACUUCUUCUCCACCUUCUCCAUCCCUCCCCUCCUCGCCGUC